rnacentral:rRNA from 1 species
UACAGAGGGUGCAAGCGUUAAUCGGAAUUACUGGGCGUAAAGGGCGCGUAGGUUGUUUGUUAAGUUAGAUGUGAAAUUUCCGGGCUCAACCUGGACAUGUCAUCUAAAACUGGCAAACUAGAGUGCAGUAGAGGGAAGUGGAAUUUCCGGUGUAGCGGUGAAAUGCGUAGAUAUCGGAAGGAACAUCAGUGGCGAAGGCG